ACGCUGUUCAUUCACGUGCAUACAAAUCAAAUCCAGACGUCUCCUUCAAUUUAGUGAGAAAGCGAAUGACUACAAUCUUUGUUUGAGGUGUUGACUCUGAAUACCCGAAUCACAGAGGGAUAUCAAUUGAAGACAGAUAUUUCAGGUAGUCUUUUCAUUUGGCUAUCCAGCUGAUUACGUUAUACACAUAUAUGUGGACCGCAUUGCAUAAAUGUAAGUUGAGCGCAGUUAUAAUCAUAACAAUUUAAAAUAAUCAGACGAAAGGAAUGAAUCGAGGAAUGAAUUGUGUUCUUUCUACCAGACGCUAAUAGCUUUGAGACAGCAUGAGCUCAUUAAAAACAAGAAAUGAAGUAUUCCACAUAUUUUAAAAUGUUGAUGAGAUAACGUAAUCACAGGCAAAAACUUUUAAUACAAAUUAAUUCUUAUACAGGCAUGAGUACAUUUUGCAGGUUUGCCAUUUUUCAAAUUUUAACAUCGGAUCGACGUAAAUAAAUUAGCCUGACUUUCUC